rnacentral:rRNA from 1 species
UCGAGCGAUGAAGCACCUUCGGGUGUGAAUUAGCGGCGAACGGGUGAGGAACACGUGAGAAAUCUGCCUUCAACACUGGGAUAACCUCCGGGAAACCGGGGCUAAUACCGGAUAUGAAAUCUGCGGGCAUCCGCGGAUUUGGAAAGUUUUUCGGUUGAAGAUGAUCUCGCGGCCUAUCAGCUUGUUGGUGAGGUAAUGGCUCACCAAGGCGACGACGGGUAGCCGGCCUGAGAGGGCGACCGGCCACACUGGGACUGAGACACGGCCCA